GAUGAACGCUGGCGGCGUGCCUAAUACAUGCAAGUCGAGCGAACAGAUGAGGAGCUUGCUCCUCUGACGUUAGCGGCGGACGGGUGAGUAACACGUGGAUAACCUACCUAUAAGACUGGGAUAACUUCGGGAAACCGGAGCUACUACCGGAUAAUAUAUUGAACCGCAUGGUUCAAUAGUGAAAGACGGUUUUGCUGUCACUUAUAGAUGGAUCCGCGCCGCAUUAGCUAGUUGGUAAGGUAACGGCUUACCAAGGCAACGAUGCGUAGCCGACCUGAGAGGGUGAUCGGCCACACUGGAACUGAGACACGGUCCAGACUCCUACGGGAGGCAGCAGUAGGGAAUCUUCCGCAAUGGGCGAAAGCCUGACGGAGCAACGCCGCGUGAGUGAUGAAGGUCUUCGGAUCGUAAAACUCUGUUAUUAGGGAAGAACAAAUGUGUAAUUAACUAGGCACGUCUUGACGGUACCUAAACAGAAAGCCACGGCUAACUACGUG
rnacentral:rRNA from 1 species